ensembl:lncRNA
GGGAGGCCGGAAAUGAAAUGAGAAAUGGUUCGAAGAUUCGGGAGAAGAAUUUUGGAGGGAAUACGACCAUUUGACAAGUACUAAUUGAGCAUCUAGUAGGUACCAGGCACUGUCCUAGGCACAGAGAAUAAUGGAAGUAAAGGCCUUUAUGGAGCUUGCAUUCUAGUGGGAGAGAAGAGACAACAAAGAAAUAAAAAUUUCAGAAAGUGGACCCGGAGGAGGAUGAGGAGGAUCUAGGCUACAUUCCUGCUGACCCUGACACUGCCUUGACCAACUGAUGGACUACCCCUGUCCUCGAGCGUUCUGACUGCCACAGCUUCGGUGGCUACGCUGAGAAGGUAAAGGUGGCCACAGCAGGCUAAUACCCUCAAAACUGUGUCCCCACCUGGAGGGGGUAGUGAGGAGUUUCAUAGUAAUGGUUCAAAGAGUGCAGGAUCGGCCCAUGAAUGUUCUUCUAAUUGAUUUGUGGGGAGCCGCCACUUUUGUAUCCAAAGCGCUGCUGCCCCCAGCUGCACUGCUUGAACAAAUUGCACCGUGAGCAAGCAAAAGCUGCACCCAGGAGACUGCUGACGUGACCUCAGAAACGCACAGUCCAGUCCUAUUGCCCAAUGCUUUUGCCCAAGAGCUUCUAUCAUAGCGUUUGGAUUUCUGGCCAUCUUGGUGACCAUAUUGGACCUUCCUUCUCCCUGCUCCCAUCAAGUUUUAAACAGAAACAUCUCUAACAACUCAUCAGUGACCAAUCAGUGAAAUGGUUCUAAGCUCUUGGGAGGCUCAGGCUCCUGCUGUUUCUCCUCCUUACCACAUUUUAUAACAAUUAAAAAAUUAGUCCAGCCACAAUCCAUUACCUGGUUGUACUCUAAGACAAGGAUUUGCCUUCCAAGGGCAAUUCCAAGACAGAAAUGAUUGGAAAAUUAUGUAUGAUUAACUCUCCCAGGAAUCAAAUGACCUCAGUAAAUAUUUUUUUGAGACCAUUAGGUCCCAGGGAUGCAAAGACAUUAUCCCUGUCUUCUGUCCAGAGCUUUGGUUUUCUUCUCAAUAAACAAACCUAAGUUUUUGUUUGUGUUUUGUUAAGUGGUGGUUGGUGGGAUAAACUGGCUGUUGGGGAUUUUUAUCCUGCCAAAAUGAUGGCCAACCACAAAAAUGGGCAAACCAUCAUUCUUAAAAGACUCUGCCCAGCACUUCACAGCAUAGGCUGAGCAGACUCUGCCCAGCUCUUCACAGCAUAGGCUGGCUGGUUAGGGGAAUCCCCUUCCUCUGUUGGCUGUUAGCAAUUAGGACCACUCGGCAAAUCCUAAAUCUUGGAAAUCACUUCAGUCCUGUGGUUGCUGAUUCCUGGCAAGUAAGAUACCAUGUCACUUUUCUGUCUGAGGUUCGGUGUUUUAUUAUCACUACCAACUUGAACUUCUGGCAAUAGGUCUUCAUCUCACAACUAAGCCCAAAGCAGUCUAACCGAGUGGAAACUGGAGUGUCUGAGAGGUUGAUGAGUCACACAAAUGGAGAGAAACAUGGUCCUAGUUAGGUUAAGAGAGGUGACAGUCCUGAUGCUUCAAAGCACAUUGCUGAUCUUUUUGUUGGAAGGCCCAAGAUUAUUUCACCUCAACAAUUGUUUUGAGGAUGAAUUUUCAAGACAGGCAAUCCACUGUCCAGCCAUUUUCUGGAAUGGUUGUCAAUAGGCUGGCCCAGAGGGUACCAAAGAAGGCAAAUGGCAAUGCAGGAUGGAAAGCAGAUCGACACUGUCACAUGGUAAACAAGCCAAGAAGUCAAAAUUGUGCCAGAAGUGGACUCCCAAUUUUAUUUAUUUUAGUGUGUUUUAUUUUUUUUUCAUUUUUGGUUUUGAAGAGUAUAAGCUAAUUGUAGACAUCCUGGC